ACAGAAUCUAUUGGGAUGUUGCAUCUCAUGCAAAAAUGAACGAAUCACUCUCUAAGACAACUCAUUGCUCCCGAGACAUAUUACAGAUUCGUUCAAAAUCGUUCAUGAACGACACAUCAUUAUUAGAGACGGGCAGGCACUAAGACCCUGGGCUGCACUGUUACUGUGGUGUGGAAUAUAACCGAGGACAGAGAUAAGAGUAGAGUCACUGAGAGAGAGAGAGAGAGAGAGAGAGAGGAAAGUACAAGCGACAGAGUACUGCUGAGCUGCGCUGGAGUUUGAAAGACUUUGCGGAGAGACUUAAAACGGUAACGGUGAUAUAAAUACCCGACUUUUAACCGGAUUAAAGCCACAGCACUUCCUUCCCUGAGAAAGUCAAACAGGCUGUGCUGUGGUGAGGAGGAACCGCGCACGCGCGCAAACACAGCAUGACAGGAGACUGGUGUGAUCAUAGCUGUGAGCCCAGGUAGCUAGAGAUCAUCACCUAACACACACACACACACACACCACCACCACCAACACCACCACCACCAACACCAAUCAGCUUCAACUGAACACAAGCAAGACCACCAUCACAGGAGAUAGAUUGGUGCGCUGAGACAAGAGCAGAAGUACAUCGGGUACUCGAUCUUUGGAUAUCUUCCCGCCCGGUUUGACUGAAGCUCCGGCCAGGACAGCAUUAAAAAUACAUAUCCCAAAGGAAGACUCUGGCUUCACUCACUCUCACACUCGCUCACACACACACUCACAAAUAAAUCAAUACCCCCAAGCUGUGAUUUCUUCAUCACUUUUCCCUCCAGCAACACACUGAGUGGGCAGCGAAAAGACCGGCUGAGCAGACUCUAUUUCUGCAACACUCAAACACUGUCCAUACUGCUGAAAUGUCUGUAGGGUUCAUAUUUUUUUCAAUAGUCUGCCAGGUGUAGGACCAAUUUUUUGCUUUUCCCACAAACAUCUGCUUAUCCAAUAUGUAUUUCCUUUAGCUGUCUUUCUUCUGAUAGAUCAUUUACUAUUUUUCUUACCAUCGUCUACAUUGCAUCUCAAUCCGAGUCCAGUGCUCUGACCUCAUUAGUCGAGUCCAAUACGUUUAGAUCGGCAGUGAGAACUGACAGACCUUCAGGACAGUUAGCAAUCGAAGCUCUUUUUCUUUGUCCCAACCCUGACUGCAACGGCGUGCUAACAAAGCAUUCCAUCAUUGCAAUUGACUCCUACAUUUCUCAAAGCUGAUCAGAAUAUUUAUAAGCCAGAGUUUCAUCCCAUCAUGUGAAAUGUGACACUGACCACACGUUCGGCCCUCGUUUGGCCCGGAGCAGAUAGCUUCUGACGUGCAGAAAGUGAAACGUGAACGAGAUCGACGAGCUUAUCAGCACAAUCGAACCUGACACAAGCUUGGAGGGAGGAAAGGAAGAGAGGAAAGGAGGGGGGG
ensembl:lncRNA